rnacentral:tRNA from 1 species
GGCAGUAUAGUGUAGUGGUUAGCACAUCUACUUUACACCCAGAAUGUCCUGGGUUUGCACUUCAGGUGUAGCCA